CCCUUAGAUGUUCUGGGCCGCACGCGUGCUACACUGAGUGGAUCAGCGGGUCAGGUUGCGCGAAAGCGUUUCCUAAUCUUUAAAUCCGCUCGUGAUGGGGAUUGACGGUUGCAAUUUUCUGUCAUGAACGAGGGAUACCUUGUAAGCGCGGGUCAUCAUCCCGCGCUGAAUACGUCCCUGCCCUUUGUACACACCGCCCGUCGCUCCUACCGAUUGAAGUUUUCGGUGAGUUGACAGGAGGAUUUUUUUGAAACUGGUUCGCCAGUGGAUUUUAGAUCCAAAUGCCAACGAAUCGAUGGCUUUAGAGGAAGGAGAAGUCGUAACA
rnacentral:rRNA from 1 species